AACCUGCGACGCCGGGGAUGAACUCCAAUCAUUAUGCCCUUUAUGACCUCUCUACACACGCGCUCCAAUGGAUCGUACACCGGGCACCAAGACCCCGCGGUCAACCCAAUCCCAUAAAACCAUUAUCAGUUCGGAUUGUAGGCUGCAACUCGCGUACAUGAAGCUGGCUUCGCUAGUAAUCGCGGAUCAGCAUGCCGCGGUGAAUACGUUCCCGGGCCUUGUACACACCGCCCGUCACACCACGAGAGUUUGUAACACCCGAAGUCGGUGGAGUAACCGUAAGGAGCUAGCCGCCUAAGGUGGACAGAUGAUUGGGGU
rnacentral:rRNA from 1 species